rnacentral:rRNA from 1 species
UACGUAGGGUGCAAGCGUUAAUCGGAAUUACUGGGCGUAAAGCGUGCGCAGGCGGUUCGGCAAGACAGAUGUGAAAUCCCCGGGCUUAACCUGGGAACUGCAUUUGUGACUGCAUGGCUAGAGUGCGGCAGAGGGGGAUGGAAUUCCGCGUGUAGCAGUGAAAUGCGUAGAUAUGCGGAGGAACACCGAUGGCGAAGGCAAUCCCCUGGGCCUGCACUGACGCUCAUGCACGAAAGCGUGGGGAGCAAACAGG